rnacentral:rRNA from 1 species
AACGAACGCUGGCGGCAGGCUUAACACAUGCAAGUCGAACGCAUCCUUCGGGGUGAGUGGCAGACGGGUGAGUAACGCGUGGGAACGUGCCCUUCAGUUCGGGAUAACCCAGGGAAACUUGGGCUAAUACCGGAUACGUGCGAGAGCAGAAAGAUUUAUCGCUGAAGGAUCGGCCCGCGUCUGAUUAGCUAGUUGGUGAGGUAAUGGCUCACCAAGGCGACGAUCAGUAGCUGGUCUGAGAGGAUGAUCAGCCACAUUGGGACUGAGACACGGCCCAAACUCCUACGGGAGGCAGCAGUGGGGAAUAUUGGACAAUGGGCGCAAGCCGGAUCCAGCCAUGCCGCGUGAGUGAUGAAGGCCUUAGGGUUGUAAAGCUCUUUCGUCCGGGAUGAUAAUGACGGUACCGGAAGAAGAAGCCCCGGCUAACUUCGUGCCAGCAGCCGCAGUUAAAA